rnacentral:rRNA from 1 species
AGAGUUUGAUCCUGGCUCAGAACGAACGCUGGCGGCAUGCCUAACACAUGCAAGUCGAACGAGACCUUCGGGUCUAGUGGCGCACGGGUGCGUAACACGUGGGAAUCUGCCCUUAGGUUCGGAAUAACUCAGGGAAACUUGAGCUAAUACCGGAUGAUGUCUUCGGACCAAAGAUUUAUCGCCUAAGGAUGAGCCCGCGCAGGAUUAGCUAGUUGGUGAGGUAAAGGCUCACCAAGGCUACGAUCCUUAGCUGGUCUGAGAGGAUGAUCAGCCACACUGGGACUGAGACACGGCCCAGACUCCUACGGGAGGCAGCAGUGGGGAAUAUUGGACAAUGGGCGAAAGCCUGAUCCAGCAAUGCCGCGUGAGUGAUGAAGGCCUUAGGGUUGUAAAGCUCUUUUACCCGGGAUGAUAAUGACAGUACCGGGAGAAUAAGCUCCGGCUAACUCCGUGCCAGCAGCCGCGGUAAUACGGAGGGAGCUAGCGUUGUUCGGAAUUACUGGGCGUAAAGCGCACGUAGGCGGCUUUGUAAGUUAGAGGUGAAAGCCCGGGGCUCAACCCCGGAACUGCCUUUAAGACUGCAUCGCUUGAAUCCAGGAGAGGUGAGUGGAAUUCCGAGUGUAGAGGUGAAAUUCGUAGAUAUUCGGAAGAACACCAGUGGCGAAGGCGGCUCACUGGACUGGUAUUGACGCUGAGGUGCGAAAGCGUGGGGAGCGAACAGGAUUAGAUACCCUGGUAGUCC